GACAGAGGGGGCAAGCGUUGCUCGGAAUUACUGGGCGUAAAGGGCGCGUAGGCGGGAUGGCAAGUCGGUCGUGAAAUCCCUCGGCUCAACUGAGGAGCGUCGAUCGAAACUGUCAUUCUUGAGGGUUGCAGAGGAGACUGGAAUUCCCGGUGUAGCGGUGAAAUGUGUAGAGAUCGGGAGGAACACCGGUGGCGAAGGCGGGUCUCUGGGCAACUCCUGACGCUGAGGCGCGAAAGCGUGGGGAGCAAACGGG
rnacentral:rRNA from 1 species